GAGGCUCGAGAGGUUGCCGCUGUCCCCGGCGGCUCGGAACCCAGCCGAGCGCUGUCCACCUGCGUAACCUCUCCUUGACAUUUGUCAUGCAGCUACAGCCAGAACUGUGCUUCUGGGAGAGAAAGUUUUUGUCUGGUUGCCACUGCAGGCGGGACCCUGCCUGUCCCCGACCAAUCCCAGGACCAGCCUGAGUCAGUCGGUGAAUCCUCCGAGUCACCCCGGAAAGCCUGAGGCUGGAGAGACUUAGCACUCCUGAGUGGCAAGCAACACCACCAGGCCUGCUUUCUGCACAUAAAGAAAAGGUCCGUGUGCUGGGCCCGCUGGCCGGAUGCUCCAGGAAGAAAGGUGAUCCUGUGUUGGUUCUUGUUUCUAAGGUGUUCACAGGCCUCCUACCUGCUGAGGCUGAAGAUCAGGGAAGGCUCCAAGGAGAAGGUGACCAUGGACAGCAAGUUUUGAAAUAAUAUGAAGCUGGCAUGAGUGAGGGGGGAGUUGAAGCCAUAAACACAUCUCAAAUCUACAAACUCUGAACUGGAAGCAGCUGCAUCUUUGUGAAGUGCUGACUGUGGAGGGGAAAAGAGGGCUGUGUCUACCUCCCAUCUCCCAAUCUGGGCGUCAGUUUCCCCACCUGGCCACUGUCCUAGCAGCCCUUGCCCUCUUCUCAUGCAGGAUUGAGGAAGUCCUCUAAUCACAACAGAGGAAGCAGGCCCUUGAACCCAUCAAUUGUCCUGUUGGGGGGAUCAAUGCCAAUGUCAUUUCAAAAUACCUGUCCAAAUUCUCAGGGGCCCAGAAGCUUUCUUCAUGUUCUACAAACCCAGAGAGAAGUGGUGUGCACGAGUCCAGUUCAACUCAUGCCUCUCCUCUGCCACUCUCUAGCUGGGUGAACUUGGGCUGAUUGCUUUAGGCCAAUUACUUAAUCGCCAGUUUCCUUAUUCUAUAAAAUGGGGUAGCAACCCAUGUCUCCCAGGGGGUUGUGAGGAUGAGAUUAAUUUUUUCAACAAAUAGUGACUUGCACCUCUAUUCUGCGCCAUAUGGCAGGAACAAAGGGGUCCAAGCAGGGCUGGUUCCCUGAGGAGCACAGAGUUUAAUGGGGAAUGUGUGUGUGUGGUAGUUUUGAGCCAGAUCCUCAGCCCCAAGGGUGAGAUGAGGGGGACUAAUGAAGCUGUGUGUCUCUGUCUCUUCUCCCACCUGCCUGCCUAGCUUUCUCUGGCCCUUUUCCUGAGGUGAUCAAAGGUGCUAAGCCAUUAGCCAUGGUGCUCCAGGCCAUCACUUAAAGGCUCCAAAGUCCUCCUGUAAGAUUAAUUAAUAACCUUGCCAUCUUGGGCUGGAGUGUAAAGAGAUCUUC